UCCUCUCCUCCUCUCCUCUUUGACAUGAACCGGAAGUUUGCCAUGCUCGUUACUGCGUUUGUCACGUGGAUUCUUUUCUGGGAGAGAAGUUCAGAGAAAGAGCAGCCACUUGACUUCUGGCUUCACGGAAGAGGGGCAGCACUCGGUGGAAGAUGACAGAGCUUCCCUCGACCAUGGUGGGGCAAGUGGUGCACCCACCCAGACCAGGGUGCACCAAACAAGGGACUCGCGGAAAGCAGAGCGGUCUGCGGGGGAGGGGCCCUCCGCGGGGCCCUGGCUGGAAGGCUUCGGGAGGAAUCGUGUUGCCUUGGCAAUAGAGGCUUCGGAGAGAAAGGAGCGUGUGAGAGAUUGGACUUGGUGGGGAGGGGCGGGAGGAGGGGACAACUGUAGUCCAGAAACGGAAAACAGAGCUGGUGACAAAAGCAGGCACCAAACCUCACACCAGAGAGGAACGUUAUUUUCAUGUAGUUUGCUAUCAGGGAGAGGCCCUGGGAAUAGGGAUUUUCCCCAGAAUUCAUCCGAAAUGGAGACAGGCUAGAGGUGGGAGGGAAAGAAGUGGGUCUAGGUCACGUGGGUGCAGAGCUGCUCCCCAGCCCCGUCCGCCGCCUCCUCUUCUCCAUUCUCUGUCUCACUCCUCUGUGCUCAGCUAAGGUGUGAUGAAGGCAAAUGAAAGAAAGGUAUGAAAAAUGGUCACUAGACUUGACCUUUAACUCAGGAAGUAUUUAUACCUGAAACCAAGCGAGUUUUGUUAGCCCUAAAGAAUUUCUAAAGUGCGUUAUGGCUGGAUGGGUUUGGGAGGGGCGGUGGUAGUCGACAGGGGUGGGUGUGACACGUGAGGCGGCUCCUUACUUCCUCCGGAAGUCUUAUGCAUCCCCGCGCCUCCUUGUCACGUGGGCCCUGAAAAUGUAGUCGGGACAAUACUUCGGAGAAGGCUGCCUGAGGCGGGUGUGAAGGGCUAGAGAUAGCAGGUGAAGGAGGUGCUCCAGGAAUAGUGCCCUGUGCCUGUUAAAGCUAGAGGAGGGGGAGGCCACUGCUGAAGAUGCAGGAACAUCGGCAUCUUGGGUAACCCUAUCAGGCCCUUGUUACGGGAGCCCUUGCUCAGUGCUGGUACUUCACUGUAGUCUGACAUUAAUAUCCACUAAUGUGCCAGAAACAGUAUAUCCUUGGAAGACUGGCUCGGUGUAGCCGAGACCCUCUCACCUCCCGACACCCUCUCCAAACCUAGUAAUGUUCAAAUUCUAAUGUUACUGUGGCCUCUUGGGUACCCGCAGGCUAGGGAGGUCCAGUGAUAUUCGCGUUACAUAACAAACGUAUGAAAUAGUUUUGCCUUGUUAUUUUAAAUUCAAACAUGUUCCCUGAUCUGUUUUGGUCUAUGCAUCUCUAAUACCUGGGUGAAACACAGCUUAGUGGAGUCACCUCACGGCCCCUCUCAGCCCUGCACUAGUGUUUGGUGAUCUGACCCCUCUGCUGCUUGAGCCUCCAUGCCCUGCCGGCCACACUCACCACGUCAUCGUCACAGGUCAAGUCCAAAAUGGAUGCAGCUUAACUUGAAAAAGAGACCAGCCUGGGAGUCAUGAGACCUUGUGUCUAGUUGGAGUUUUGCCACAGAUUCACUAGGCGACCUUGAGUGAGAUAACCACUUUUCCAAUCCAGAGCCCUUGCAACUCAUGGCUCUACCAUCUUUAAUACAUAGCUUCCAUGAUUGCCCUGCUGCUCAGCAUCAAGCCUGCAGAAGAGGAAAGAUCCUGGAUGACGGAGCCUGGGGACGUUUUAUGGGGCAGGCUACUCAUAUUUCAUUGGCCGAAAAUCAGCCCCAGGGCUACACCUAACUGCAGGAGAAGAUGUGAAACGAAGUCUGGCUCUGUGCCCAAGAAGAAGAGGAAACAGGUGAGGUGAGGACCCAGCCAGUCUCUGCCACAAUGAAACAGAUAAUGAAGUAAAAGAUACAAAGAGUUCUAUAAACUGAAGAGGAUGGAAAAUUCAAUUAAAUCUAAUCACUUGGUGAAAAGAUAGGCUACACCCCAAGGGGGACUGCAGAAUUCUAUCUACCCAAAUCAUGUGUUAAAAAGUGAAAGAGGCUAUGAUAAAAUUAGGAUAAGGGUGAACUUUGAAAGACACUCUGGGAUGCAUGGCACACUCCUCCUCCGGUGACACAGUAGACAGAACCAAUCCAACUAUGAAAAGCAGCUCAGUGUGUUAACCCGUUGCUCAGAUAGGAUCAUCCAGGAAAAAAAUCCUAGUCUUGUAUGUCUUACUGAGAAUCUGUAUGGCAGUUCUAAAUAACUCCAUCCUGCCUGAAUUGCCUUCCUGCUCCCCUUGGCUGGUUAAAGUGACUUUACUUCCAUGGAAAAGACGUAGAAAAAAUAUGCAGAUGAUGAAGCCAAUCAAACUUGUAGUAUUAUUACUUCCGUGUUAAGUUUUACGAGUUAAGUUUGUGUUUGUUAUUUAAGGAGUUUGAAAUGUUUAAGAGAAUCUAACCAAUUAGCCUUGUGAUUUUAUUUUGAAAUGAUAAAUUGGUACUCCAUUUCUGAUUUUCAUCUGAAAGUUGUAAAAUAAUUGAACAUGUUCGUAAAUAGUGUUUGAAUGUUUAAGAGAACCCAAUUUACGACAGGUAUAAGUUAGUUUUAUUAGAUUUGUAAGAGUUAAUUGAGAUGUAGAAAGAUUUUACUUGCUGGGUUUUGUAAGUGUUGCCCCAUCAGGCAUUUGAAAUAUUUCAGAAAAUCAAAUAUAUCAAAUUUGUAAGGGUAGUUGAAAAAUAUUUUAGGAAACUUAAUUACAUGUGUAAACGUGGUCAGUUGAGGAAACUUAGUCUUUUUAAAUAUAUAAAUUAAUUGAACACUAAUCAAAUAAAAAAGCAGUCAUUCUCAUUUUUACAUAAAUCACUGUAUUUACAAAAAGAAUUUAUAAGUUAGAUUUAUAGGUUAAGUUUGAAGGCUUAAAAAAGGUAAAAUAAAGUGUUCAACUUUAAUAAACUGAAUAUUAAUUAGAGUAGAUAUUAGUAGUCCCUUUUGCUCACAGAUCUCUCGCACUUAAAUAGGUAAUCAAUAGGAGUAAAGAAGAGGAAACAGAGAGAAUGAUAGGCAUUUUCUAAAAAGCAGAACCAACAACACUUAAACAAACUGGUUUCUUUCAAAGAAAGAUAUCUAAAGUAGUCAAACUCCUAGAAGCAGAGAGGAGAAUGGUGGUUGCCAGGGGCCAGGGGACGGGGAAAAGGGAGUUGCUGUCCAACUGGUAUGAAGUUUCAGUCAUGCAAGAAAGUUCUAGACACGUGCUGCACAAUACUGUGCCUAUGGUUAGCAAUACUGUUUUGUACACUUAAAACUUUGUCAAGAGCGUAGAUCUCAUAUUAAGUGUUCUUACCACAAGAAGAAAAAAGAUAGAAUGAUUUGCUUGUACUUAAAUUUUUUUUCAAUUAUUUUUCUAGUUGGUACAUUGGCUUAGUUUUUCAUGUUAAUAAUUAAUAUAUGUUUACCAUUAUAAAUCUAUUUUUAAUGCAUUUAAACAUAGGUAUGUUACUUCUCUGGGGUUCUUAACAUUCCUGUUGGAAAACCGAUUUUGUUUAAACCACAGAGCCCAUUAUGUUAUUAGUGAGCGGACCACUAAUCACCUAGUGGUAACAAUAAGAGGCAAAGGGCAUAGAAUGGUGGAGGAAAGCACAAAAUACCUUUAACAUCUUCCCCCAAAUACCAGGUGUAAUAGCAACAUUUCAGAGGAAACUCUGGUUGGAUUAGGGUGAGUAAGAUUUUGAUGGAUCUGGGAGGCCAGGCCAAGAAGUUGUUUUAAGGUAGUGGGCACUGGAGCACAAUAUGUUAGUUACAUGGUGAGCACAGUUCCACGUUGUCAGCAAUGCCCUCGGAAGAGUCUUCAGGCAUUGGUGGGCAGGGUGGACAGCAGAGGGGAGAGAUGCACUAGGAUGGGCUACAACACAAAGUAAACCAAGGGAGUUGGCUGCUGGAGCUCAGAGCCAAAGGAACGCAGUGUGGCAGUUACUGCAAAGCUGUGCUUCUGAGUGAGGACAGGGUUUCCAUGAGGCUCACAUUGUUGGUUUACAGUUCACUGAAUUUAACAAUGUAAUGAUGAUAAUGGAUUUAUUUUCCUUUUAAAAGUGACUCUGAGAAAGAGUUAGUAAGCCAGGGUCAUAAAGACCUGGGCAAACCAACUGCUCUCACUGCUUUAGACAGCCUUGACCGUGGAGUAAAAUCCAGUGUUAUCUGCAAGUGAGGGGAUUAUUAUGUCUCAAGGCUAAUCAGCUUCAAGAUAAAAUUCUAGGAUGGAAUCUUCACUUUAAAAAUCAUUUUCAUUAAGAUCUGGAGAGUAAUUUUCAGCUAUUAUGAAGGUACAACCUCUUAGCCAUGCUUUUUAAAAUAUACAUAUAUUUUAUGACACUGUGACAGAGAAAACAAGAGAAGCCCCUAUAUCCAUUUUUAAAAAUCUCCUUCAGUAACAGAAUCCCUUGUUUUUCAGCUGGGGAUAUGGGUUCUCAGACACCACACCUUAUGUCCCAGCUUCCCUGUUGCUAAGUUCUGACUGAUGAGAUGGGGACAGAAGUAUCAUGCGGCAGCGCCUGGGAAUUUUCCUUACAAGACACCCAGUGUCUGCUCUUUGCCCUCUUUUCUCCAGCCCCUCUGCCAGGACCCAGCCAUCCUGGGCCAUGAGGAGGCUGACCACUCUUAGGGAUGGCAGAGUGGGAGGCCGAGGGGGCCUGGGGUCUUGAGGACUUUGAAGCGCUUUCCACACCAGCCCUGGGUCGCCUAACUGGACCGUCACAGGAGACAAAAAUAAUCUCAUACUUUGUAUAAGCCUCUCUUUGGGGGAUUUUCUGUUACUUGAAGUCAAACUAAUCCUCAGUAAUAUAAAAAAUAAAAUUCUGUUCUAUUUUCUCUCA